UACGGAGGGGGCUAGCGUUGUUCGGAAUUACUGGGCGUAAAGGGCGCGUAGGCGGCCUGCGAAGUUAGGCGUGAAAGCCCUGGGCUCAACCCGGGAACUGCGCUUGAUACUGGCGGGCUCGAGGCCGGGAGAGGGUAGUGGAAUUCCCAGUGUAGAGGUGAAAUUCGUAGAUAUUGGGAAGAACACCGGUGGCGAAGGCGGCUACCUGGUCCGGUUCUGACGCUGAGGCGCGAAAGCGUGGGGAGCAAACAGG
rnacentral:misc_RNA from 1 species